UCUCCUGCCUCAGCCUCCCGUGUAGCUGGUACUACAGGCGCCCGCCACCACACCCGGCUAAUUUUUUUUUUUUUUUNNNNNNNNNNGCCUCCCCUCAGAUGGUAUCUCAUUGUGGUUUGCUCUUUGGGUCCAUUCAAUUCCCCUAAAAAUCAUUUACAAUCCUUCAAGUUGCCUACAUUUCCCCCAUCUCCCUCUACGUAAGUUUCAAUCAUUUAGCCUUUCUUUGAGUCUCAUAUUUUUGGAACUCCUGUGUUCAUGUGCAUGUUAAUAAAUUUGAAUAUGCCUUUUCUCCUGUUCAUCUGUCUAUUGCCAGUUCAUUUCAGGGAUCCUUCAGAGGGUAGAGAGGAAGCUUGUCCUUCACUCCUACAAUAGUGUCACUAUCCACUACUGGCUCAAGCUAAAAACCUAGGUGCCACCUUGUGUCUCCCUUUCCUUCUCCAUCAUCACCAAGUGCUGCUGGCCCUCAAAAUGAGGAAGGUCUCUAUUACCUU
rnacentral:lncRNA from 1 species